UAUUACCUGGGCUCAAAUCUUAGAGUCCAGGUUUCAUUGUGCACUAGCUGCGUUUCCUCGAGCAAGUCUCAGUUUCCUGUAAUUCACCAAGUGUUGACUGAGUGUCUAGUAUGUGCCAGGCACGGUUCAUCAAACAAACAGACAGAUUCUCCAAAUUUCCAACACAAACAGAAUAGUGUUUUCCUGCCUCUGGAGUCCUUGAGCAAUGUUUGGCUGAGAGACCCACGAGAGAAGUGUUACAAGUGUGAUCUCAGCAGGCUGGGUGCCUAGGACUGCCUCCUUCCUGCACCAGCUCUCCAGCCUGGGCCUGCGGCCAAGAGCCCUGGAGUUCACCAGAAAGACAAACACUGAGACGCUCCCCAAACACUUGGACUUUAAUUUGCUUCAUGAAAUGCCAGGUUAUUUUCUUUUUCUGGCAGAAAUGGUUGCACCUUCUCCAGCCUCA
rnacentral:lncRNA from 1 species